GGGAUAUUGCACAAUGGGGGGAACCCUGAUGCAGCGACGCCGCGUGGGCGAUGGAGUGCUUCGGCAUGUAAAGCCCUAUCAGCAGGGAAGAAAAUGACGGUACCUGACUAAGAAGCACCGGCUAAAUACGUGCCAGCAGCCGCGGUAAUACGUAUGGGGCAAGCGUUAUCCGGAUUUACUGGGUGUAAAGGGAGCGUAGGCGGCCUGGCAAGCCUGAUGUGAAAUACCGGGGCCCAACCCCGGGGCUGCAUUGGGAACUGCCAGGCUGGAGUGCCGGAGAGGCAGGCGGAAUUCCUAGUGUAGCGGUGAAAUGCGUAGAUAUUAGGAGGAACACCAGUGGCGAAGGCGACUUUCUGGACAGUAACUGACGUUGAGGCACGAAAGUGUGGGGAGCAAACAG
rnacentral:rRNA from 1 species